rnacentral:antisense_RNA from 1 species
AGGGAUAGCUGGUGUGCGUGCAGGAGAACUGGCGCUAACUGCCCUAGAUAUGGAGGCCCGCGGACUGGACGUGAGAGGCGGGCAGGGGCAGUUGGGGCAGCUGCCCCUACAACACUCAAGAAUUGGAACAGGAAAGAGUGUGGGGGUAGGGGACGGGGACUCUUUGUCUGCAGUUGGAAUGCGCGGAGGGGCAUGGUGGAAUGUGUCGCGUCCCGGGACCGGACGAUAGGAGGCAUGUUCUGCGCUAGCACCGUGACUUUGUUCCCAGCGUGGGGACUGUGGGAGAGAUGGAGAGAGACUGGUACAGAAAUGGUGAGACAAGGAGAGAGCCAUAAAGAGGAAGACAGAGAGAAAGAAGACAAAUGCAUAAAGAGGUUCAGAGACGUGUGACUAUGGAGAUCGAAGGCCUGGUUUUAGGGCUAGCGAACACCUUCUCGCUUUGGUUUUGGUCCACAGAAGACUGGUGAUACAGACUCCUUAUCAGUGUAAUUGUGGGGACUGGUCACCAGCUCUUGCUUGAGCUUUUCCAGAAGAAACUUCACUACUGAAAUAUUCCAAGAGGACUUGAUGCUGCCACAAAGAGAAGAGAAUGAAUAAAGUUGUCGGCUUUGUAAGAGCCAGACAAACAGAGAUACCCAGCACUGAUCAACUUUGUGGCAAAUCCCUCCAUGGCCUAAGAAGGCGCAGCAGCAGCAUCUGGCCUCGCUGCCACUGGGAGGGGAGAAGAGAAUGGUGGCACUGAAGGACAUGGCGGAUGGGGCAGUAACAACCACGCUUACACUGCUGGGCCGCUCCAACAGGUAG